GGGCCGUAUUGGCUCAAACUACUCAAUGCAUUUACAUUUUUUUAACCUAUUGUUAUUUUUUGCCUUCUCUAGAGCGUGCCCUUCUACAUAUUCUCAGAGUCCUAUGGAGGGAAGAUGGCUGCCGCGAUCUCACUGGAACUCACCAAGGCCGUAGAAAAAGGAACCCUAAAAUGUAACUUGCUGGAGUGGCUCUGGAAGACUCUUGGAUCUCUCCACUGGACUCUGUUAUGACCUGGGGUCCUUAUCUGUACACCAUGGCACAUGUGCUUUAU